rnacentral:rRNA from 1 species
AUGCACGCUGGCGGCGUGCCUAAUACCUGCCAGUCGCGCGAACAGACGAGGAGCUUGCUCCUCUGAUGUUAGCGGCGGACGGGUGAGUAACACGUGGAUAACCUACCUAUAAGACUGGGAUAACUUCGGGAAACCGGAGCUAAUACCGGAUAAUAUAUUGAACCGCCUGGUUCAAUAGUGAAAGACGGUUUUGCUGUCACUUAUAGAUGGAUCCGCGCCGCAUUACCUAGUUGGUAAGGUAACGGCUUACCAAGGCAACCAUGCGUAGCCGACCUGAGAGGGUGAUCGGCCACACUGGAACUGAGACACGGUCCAGACUCCUACGGGAGGCAGCAGUAGGGAAUCUUCCGCAAUGGGCGAAAGCCUGACGGAGCAACGCCGCGUGAGUGAUGAAGGUCUUCGGAUCGUAAAACUCUGUUAUUAGGGGAGAACAAAUGUGUAAGUAACUAUGCACGUCUUGACGGUACCUAAUCAGAAAGCCACGGCUAACUACGUG